rnacentral:tRNA from 1 species
GGUGUGCGUGGCCGAGUGGUAAGGCAGACGACUGUGAAUCGUCGCACGAGGGUUCGAUUCCCCCGUUCACCCC